rfam:Brachypodium distachyon strain Bd21 chromosome 2, whole genome shotgun sequence.
CUAAUACUCCCUCCGUCCAACAUAAGAUGUCUCACGUUUGUCAAAAUUUGGAUGUAUCUAGACUUGUGCAUUCAAAUUUAGUCAAAGUUGAGACAUCCUUUGUUGGACGGAGGGAGUAAUAU